CAGCAGCCGCGGUAAUACGGAGGGGGCUAGCGUUGUUCGGAAUUACUGAGCGUAAAGGGUGCGUAGGCGGCUUGACAAGUCUUGUGUGAAAUCUAUGGGCUCAACUCAUAGUCUGCACGGUAAACUGUCGGGCUUGAGAAUGGGAGAGGUGAGUGGAAUUCCGCGUGUAGCAGUGAAAUGCGUAGAUAUGCGGAGGAACACCGAUGGCGAAGGCAAUCCCCUGGACCUGUACUGACGCUCAUGCACGAAAGCGUGGGGAGCAAACAGGAUUAGAUACCCGAGUAGUCCCUGUCUCUUAUAC
rnacentral:rRNA from 1 species